UGUGUGAAGUAAUUGGCAACAAAUUGUUAUGCUGGUAAAUUUUAUCGCCUAACCUGACACUUUAGUACAAAGGGAAACUUCAAAUAUAUGAGCUUGUAUGUUUUCUAUUCUUCUGGGCUAUUAGGAAUUCUGAUUAUGAGGCUCUGAAUAAAAGUUGCGUUUCUUUCAAUAAACUAAUUUAAAGGAUCAAAUUGCUAAUUAAGCCAUUAGGGACUGGAUGAGUUCUGUACUGCCGAACUCCCCAAAGGCGAGAAGAAGAACCCUUUGUUUUAUUGUGAACUCAGUGUAUUAUUAAACUUGUUUAUCGAACUUCUAAAGACAAGUUCUCCAAAGACAAAGCGGAGGAGAUUUCGGUCGGGUGGGGGUUGGGGAGAAGGGGGUAUCUUGGGGAACGCGAUUGCAUUCGUUAUGGACAUCGUGGAAAGACAAAUGCAGAUGUUGCUCCCCCGGCCUCCACAGCAGAUCCUGCCCGCUGUGCUCUUCAUCAACACCAGGUCAGCGUCGCCGCAGGAGGCUUCUACAAGUCCCCAGGACUGGGAGACGGCCAGCACCAUGAGGCGCAACGUGUGUUCCCCUGCGUGUGCCUGGGCCCUGGGGUUCUGGGUCUGGAGUUCUGGUUCUAGAGUUCUGGGUUUUGGGGUUCUGGUUCUGGAGUUCUGGGUCUGGAGUUCUGGGUUUUGGGGUUCUGGGUCUGGAGUUCUGGAUUUUGGGGUUCUGGGUCUGGAGUUCUGGGUCUGGUUUGGUACUGUACCAAAGUCGCUCAUUACUUUUCAGGCCGACAGAGAGGAGGGGGUGGGUCUCAGGGCUUUGUCUCUGCAUUUAAACACACCUCAUUAAUAUUCAUCUGCUGACCUGGACCAAUCACAUUACUGGCUUUCCUGGUGUGUGGAGUUUUAGCAGACAGACAAGCACUGCUGAUCCAAAAAACACCAUUUCUGUUGUUAAACCUUUUGAUAUUCUCAAACCUUUCCUAGCUCUCUCUCUAUCUCUCUGAUUCUCAAUCUGUCUGUCUCUCUCUCUCUCUCUCCCUCUCUCUCUCUCACUGUCUCCAUUGUCUCUCUAUCUAUCUAUCUGUCUGUCUCUCCCCCCCUCUCUCUCUCUCUCCCCCCCUCUCUCUCUCUCUCUCUCUCUGUCCCCUGCUGAGCAGGCACACACAGAGCUCUCAGUAGUGUCUUGCUGAGCGAUGUUCUCGUGUCCCAUGUAAUGCAGUCAUUCGUCUGUAGAACUUUGAGGGGAAGAGGAACCGCUUUGCAUUUUGAGUAUAAUUGAGGGGUCACUCUGGCCUUCGGUGCGUGGCACCCCGACUUCUUCAGCUGCACCUUAACACCCAGGACCGCCGUCCUUUUGUAAGCGAUCGGUUCUGGGAAUGCUGUUUUUCAUUCGUGCGGACCACGACAGCUCUUUCAGCAGAACUCCAGUCCUCUCUCACUCUCUUUACUUUGUUAAAACCCGCCUUAAUUAUUCAACAAAUCUUUUUUGCAUGUUCAGUUAAAUAAUUAAGGAGCCUGCUGUCGCGAGCGUCCCGGGGAGCAGGAGAGGAGGUGCGCUGUGGUGGGGUGCCAUGUUUGUUCCCGGGCGUGUGGUGAUAUUUGUACCAUCACAUGUCAAAACUGAGCGCUACUGAAGGUAGUUUUGUAGCUGACAGCGUGAAAUAAAUGUCAUUUAAAUGUUUAAUAACAUGCUUGUUUCUGUUUAGGCUUGUAAAAUAUUAAAUAUCCUUGAAUAAUUA